GACAGAGGGUGCAAACGUUGUUCGGAAUUACUGGGCGUAAAGGGCGCGUAGGCGGCCUUCUAAGUCGAACGUGAAAUCCCCGGGCUCAACCCGGGAACUGCGUCCGAUACUGGAAGGCUUGAAUUCGGGAGAGGGAUGCGGAAUUCCAGGUGUAGCGGUGAAAUGCGUAGAUAUCUGGAGGAACACCGGUGGCGAAGGCGGCAUCCUGGACCGGCAUUGACGCUGAGGCGCGAAAGCCAGGGGAGCAAACGGG
rnacentral:rRNA from 1 species